CUGGCUCCUCAGUGAUAUGAGUCAAUCCAUCAGACAGAAUGAUGGCAGUCACCCAGACUUCACAGCCACCACCACCAUGCUGGCAAAUGUCACAUUUGGAAUUCAUUUGCAUAGCUGGGUAGCACUCCCUGUGGAGUUACAUUGAACAAUUUUGCAGCUGUGACAGCUUGAAAUAGAAAAGCUAAUGCAACUAUCUGUCGACUUCCUCUGUGUCUUGUUUUCCUAAAAUCUAGCUGGGAAUUCUUGUUACAGAAAGGGGGAGAAUCAUGUAAAAAUGGAAGGGAAACUGAUGCAAAGCUUUCAGGAACCAAGCACGUCUUGGUGGCAUUCAGAAGAGGCAUACAGGGACAUAGAAGCACGGUUUCCCACGGACUGAGAUGAAGCUUCUCUUCCUAACGUCCUACCACAGAAAGCAGAUAGCCAAAAGAUAGUUUUGACUGAAUGGAGGAAGAUGAGGAGUGAAGACCCCAAUUUCUUUCCCCUCAUAAUGGAGUCAAAAGGGGACUCUGUUAUGAAGGAGUGUUGGUGAGAGAAUGUGGAUCCUUACAGAAAAUUGCAGCUGUAUGAGAGAUGGAAGAUUUAAUCCAAGCUGUGCCAAGGCUCACCAACCUAGACAGGUGAGAACUGGGCCAUCAAUCCAAACAAGGGUAAACAAUAAAUGCACCUGGGGGAAAGGCCAACCAUGAUGAUUGUGAAAGACUGGGAAACAUGACAAAUUACUAUGAAGGAAUUUCUGAGCUUAGGAAAAUACAAUUUCUGGGGGUUUGGAUAUGGUGCAUUGUGAGCUGUCAAAGGAUUCCAAAGUUCAGGCAUUGAGCUGCUUUAUCUUUUAAUAUUUCAAAUUCAAUGACACUUUUGAGUUUAUAUUUGGUUUAACAAAAAAAAUCAUUUAAGCACAGCAUAUAUAGCUCCAAAUCCAUGUGUAUGCUCCCCGACUUAAGGAUGAAAGAAACAUCUAGUCAAGGGAAUAUGUGCCUUGAUUUAUUUCUCUAGCAGUAAUGAUGAAUUGCACUAUGUCUUCUGCACUCCCAUGACAUGUCACUUCCAUAACCCUUGGUGUUUAACUACAAGACAGAAAGGUUACAAGUGCAGGUGAUUGCUGUGCACAAGGGUUUUUCCUAACUGAGAAACUAACUGGCCCAUAUAGGGAUUAAAACCACAAGCUUGGCCCUCAUAAUCACCACUCUAACGUCCAGAGCUAACUGACCCAGACAAUAAAGGCUGCAGGAGACACCCACUGAGCUAUUAGGUUGAUAAAUGGGAAGGACUUCAGAGUACAGCAUCUUAUGAAAAAUAAUAUAAUAAUUUAAGUAGUUGUCCAUCCCAGUGGUACCAAUUUAUAGCCAAGGCUAACUCAAUAGUUUCUUCACACCCAGAGGCGAAGAACUGCUGAGCUGCAUCAUUCACAGAGAGACAUAAAAUAAACACAUCUAAUAUAUAACAAGAAUGCCAUAAGUCCAAAACAAAAGCAGGAUCGCAUGCAGAAAUUUCAACUAACCUUUUACCUCUACCAUUUAAAGUAAAAGAGGAAGAACAAAGCUGCUGGAAUGCUCUCCUAAAUUAUGACUUUUUAAAAUGACUUAAUCAGUAUAUAAAUUAAUAUCUUUAAGUAGAUGAAAUUUAACAUGGUCAUAAACAAAUAUUAAAUGUACUAUAUUUUUUCAUACAUUAAUAAUGAUGAAUAACACUGUUAAAUAGCUGUCAACUCACAUAAAACAUAUUCAAAGUGUGGUGACAUCAAUUGUUAAAACAAGAAGAAAACAUCCUGAGUAAUACAUAUUGUGUCACUUAGGUUUGAGCCACAAUAAAGACCUUUGAUAUAGAGUAUUUAUGAAAAACUAUAUGAACUUUUUUAUUUGAGAGGAAAAUUAAUAAAGAAUGUAUUUUGUUAUCAUUUCUUGGAUUUUGUUUUGCCAUGUUGAUUUUAGGAGAUUGAUCAUUUCUUAAUAAAUGUUGUGAAAUUUUGGAGAGUGUCACCUGGUGAAUUGAGAGCCCUGGUUUCAUGACUAACUAGCAAGAUUUUUCAAACAUUUAUGUAACUGAGAAAGAAAAAAAGAAUGUAAAAAAAUCAAGGCAUGUUCGCCAUUUUCCUAGAAAUAAAUCGGUUUUCUUUAAUAAUUCUGUCAUAAAUAUUACCUAAGUUAUGUGUACUAACUA